rnacentral:lncRNA from 1 species
GAGCACCCCUACCGUCCUGCUGGAAGUCGGGGCUGGGCUGUCAGGUCUCCAAGUCCCGCGCAGAGCCGGCGGGAUGGAGCCGCCAAACCACGCGGAGUCGGGGAGCAUGGAGAGAAUCCCCUAACUCCUCCUCCGUGGGGCUUCCCGCGUGGAUUCCCACCCAGUCUCGGUUUGCCGGGGGAGAAGGUGGAGGUGGAGAAAGGGGAGGAGAGGUGGUCUGCCCACGGCCACCAGUGCUCAGGACCUGCGGGCCGAUGGCCAGUGUGGGCGGUGACACCCUUCCCUCGAUGUGGGAGUCACGCCCCACCGUCCCUCCUGCACGCUGGGACAUCUCACUGCGGACGAGGAAACUGAGGCCGGGGGAAGGGGGAUCUCCGGCGCGGAUGCCGGCUGGAAGGCUCCAUCCAGUCCACGCGACCCACCGAGCCGAGGGCUGCUCGCACUCCCGCACAGGCGGCGGAGCUGCCUCGUCGACCCGAAACCGCGGCCAGAAGAUGUCUCCACGGUUGCCUGAGCCCGGGGUCGCAGCCAGGGUUUGGCUUCCAGACCCCCAGGGGAUCCUUCAGCCAGCCCUGGCCGCCCCCGCCGCCUCCCUAGAAACGUGCUUUGGCCGCAAGAGGGCGACAAAGCCCAGACUGCGCGAGUAGACGCGGCGGGUCUCUGGACGUUCCCGGGGCUCCGCGGUGACCGGGUAACAAAGAGCCUGAGCCAGGGCCACUCCAGGGCUCGGUCCAUCAGCAGGCUGUCCAUCACGGGUGAGAUCAUCUGGUACCUGCACGUGACCACCCCACAGACUCUAAGCCGCUUUGACCCGACUUCCUCCUUUCCGACAUCGGUUUCCCUGGUUUCCCCGUCUGUCAGCUGUGGGUUCCAGGAAGAGCUGGGGAGUGGGGCGGCUGCUUCUUCAAGACCGCUCAGAGGCCCCUCCUCCUUGCCACCUUCCCUGUUCCUCCCACUUGGACUGGCAUCUCUGCUUCACACCAGGCACCUCCAGGGUGCACUGGGUGGAGUUCAGGAGGCCAGCUGACCUUCAGCACUAGGCUGCCAGAGUGGGCAGUGAGCCACACCAAGCAAGCUGGCUGUCACAGGCCUGGCUGCAGCUGAUACCAAUGGGACCCCAGCAGUUCAACAGGGACUUCCUCCCUCCCAGCCUCCAUUUGCUCAUCUGUACAGGCUCUGUGCCCUCAGGUCCCAGGCACAUGCUGCCUUCAAAAUAAAAUACAUUUUAAACUGAGGGCAUGGGGCCCUAACAGAGUCCUAACAGAAGCUUAAUGUGGGAAUCUCAGUUCCCAGACCAGGGAUUGAACCCAGGCUGAAGAGGCAAGACUGUCCAGUCCUCACCACUAGGCCUGUCAGGUUUCGGGGUUGUCACUGGGGGCUCCUGAGAGUCUCUCGUGGUGUGGGAGGCAGUGAAGAAGAAAGCCAGCUCAGUGGGUGGGUGCUGUUUUGCCUAUGGGCCCUGGGAGAGCCUGCAUAGAGGGAGGAGUCAGGGUCCCCUGGGUGUUCCUAGACCCAGGAUCCCUGGGCUCCUUGUUCUGCAGCAGGCAGGGUCCCGAGGCCAGUGAGGUGGCCUGGGAAGCAGACUCAUUGUCACCUUGCCAAGGGACCACAGGUCCCCCUCCUGCCAAGGUCCUCAGCCCAGGAGAGGCAAAGCGGCCUGAACGGCAGGUCUGCAGCUGUGCUGCUCAGGACAGAUGGCUAAGUAGCUGUGACAGUCCAGCACACUACCUGCCCAGGUCACCUAGGCCCCUGGGACAUGCAAAGCCCAGGGCUUCACUUCAUAAGUACUUGGAGGUGGCUGGGGUUGGAACAGUGAAACUGGUGCCUCCAGGACCUGGUAAUGAAGGCCCAGUCCUGCUGGGUCUCAGUCCCUAACUGAUGACACCCCUUGGCCCUGAGAAGGGACAUGUGCAUGGGACCCAGCCACUGCUCCCUGCACAUUUCACCCCCACCCUGGGCUCCCAGCCUCCAAGGAAUGUACUUCUGCACCUGCAAACCGGCUCCUGUCUUAGCAGCCCCAUCAGCCCCAUGGAAGGGGAGAGAAAGGCACCCCUCUCACAAUGACAGCCCCUCCCCACUAGCCCCAGCCCAACCCUAAGUGGAGGGCCAGCCAGUGCCUGUGCUGAGGGCCUGGAGGCAGGAAUGCCUCCCCCUCCCCAAGAACAAGACACCCGACCCCCUUGCUGGCUCCUUCAAGCCUGGUAGGUGCAGUCGCCCAUGCCUGUGUCCAAGGCCUGGCCCCUGCCCCACAGCUGCACCUCCACCAGGAUGGGAUCUGCUCCGCUGGGCUCAGCUCCAAUGGGAUCAUCAACCCUGUGGCUAACCCACAUCCUGCCACUUCUGGCCCCCCAGGCUCCACCCUGCCUAUGCCUCCAGUAUUCCCUGCAUCCUCCCCCUGCUCACUGAUUCCUCUGGCAGGCUGCCCUCCCAGCAGCCACAAGGAUCUUCUUUUCUUCUUCUCCUCUUUUUUUUUUUUUUUUCCCUUUCUUUUUGCGGGCCCUGCAGUAUAUGGAGUUCCAAGGCUAGGGAUCAGAUCUGAGCCACAGUUGCAACCUAUGCAGCAGCUGUGGCAACGCUGGAUACUUAACCCACUCACUGUGCCCAGCCUGGGAUCGAACCUGAGUCUCAUCACUCCCAAGAUGUGCACCACAGCAGGAACUCCCAAAGAACUGCUUCUUUUUUUGUUUUUAGGGCCGCACUUGCGGCAUAUGGAAGUUCCCAGGCUAGGGGUCCAAUCAGAGCUACAGCUGCCGGCCUACACCACAGCCACAGCAACGCAGAAUCCGAGCUGCAUCUAAGAUCUACACCACAGCUCACAGCAACGCCAGACCCUUAACCCACUGAGGCCAGAGAUCAAACCUGCAAUUUCAUGGUUCCUAGUCGGAUUCAUUUCCGCUGCCUCAGAACAGGAACUCCCCAAGGAUCUUCUUAUAGUGACAAGCAUCACCUCUUCACAGAGUUUUCCAGAUCACUUCAUGUAGCAUGGGGCCCACUAUCCAACGCUCCAGCCUCCACUUGGCUGUUAUUUCCAUCAGCACCCUGCCCAGCAAACACUGGCUCUUAUUUAGCAUAAGCUCUUGGGUGCCUGUCUUCUUGGCUACACCAGGAGGGAGAGCAUCUUCUGUUGGCCACUUUUUCCAGCAUCCAGAACAAUGCCUGGCAGCUGGUGUUCAAUAAAUGAUUGACUUUAUUCAUUAAAAU